rnacentral:rRNA from 1 species
UACGGAGGGGGCUAGCGUUGUUCGGAAUUACUGGGCGUAAAGCGCACGUAGGCGGCUUUGUAAGUUAGAGGUGAAAGCCCGGAGCUCAACUCCGGAAUUGCCUUUAAGACUGCAUCGCUAGAAUUGUGGAGAGGUGAGUGGAAUUCCGAGUGUAGAGGUGAAAUUCGUAGAUAUUCGGAAGAACGCCAGUGGCGAAGGCGACUCACUGGACACAUAUUGACGCUGAGGUGCGAAAGCGUGGGGAGCAAACAGG